CCUACGGGAGGCAGCAGUGGGGAAUAUUGCGCAAUGGGCGAAAGCCUGACGCAGCGACGCCGCGUGAGGGAUGAAGGUCUUCGGAUCGUAAACCUCUGUCAGCAGGGAAGAACGGUCACUGUGCUAAUCAGCAGUGAAUUGACGGUACCUGCAAAGGAAGCACCGGCUAACUCCGUGCCAGCAGCCGCGGUAAUACGGAGGGUGCGAGCGUUAAUCGGAAUUACUGGGCGUAAAGCGCUCGUAGGCGGUAUGUCAAGUCAAGGGUGAAAUCCCCGCGCUCAACGUGGGAACUGCCUUUGAAACUGGCAAACUGGAGUGGGGGAGAGGAUAGUGGAAUUCCAGGUGUAGGAGUGAAAUGCGUAGAUAUCUGGAGGAACAUCAGUGGCGAAGGCGACUAUCUGGCACAUAACUGACGCUGAGGAGCGAAAGCGUGGGUAGCAAACAGGAUUAGAUACCCGAGUAGUC
rnacentral:rRNA from 1 species